CCUAUGAGGAAAAGGACAUGACUAUCCUACCUUGACCCCUCGUGCGCAGAGCUUCCCAGGGGGGAUUAAUUCUCGAAAAAGGGAGGAAGUCCCCAACCGAUCUUUGCUUCUAUUACAAACUUCAGCAACCCUUGGGCGCCCUACACCUGCUAUCUAAAUAAAAAAAGCAAGAGGGGACGUCCAUGAGGGUUUCAGGGGCUACGUCUCACAAACCUUUUAUCACGAGAUAAAAUAUGAAACGUGGGACUGGAGAAUUCCGUCAAAAUAGGAAUGCUGCACAGGGGGCCAGGGCAGUCCAAGAAAAAAGAUUUAUCACUCUAACAGAAUUGAACAGGUGUGAACUACCGAUUGUCGCUGCCAGGCGGGGAACCAACCAACCGGAACAUACA
rnacentral:misc_RNA from 1 species